GUGUAGCCCAGUGGUAGAACACUUACCUAGCAUGUGUAGGACUAUGGGUUUGGUCCCCAUCACCCCAGAGAGAGAGUAGGGUGGGGCAGGAAACCAACCUUGUACCUAAGAAAUUCAGGAAAGCCAUUAGGCAAGUCACCUUCUGUGUGUCCAAGUGAGCAGGCACAACUCUGUUCUGUCCAGAAGUAGGUGCAACAGUAAUCUCAGUACCCCCAUGUGGGCAUCCGUAGGAGUGGCCAAAGUGGAGAAAGGUUCACCUUUGAGUGGGCUCCCUUUUGGGUGCAUUCAUUGUAAUAAGCUUACACCUGAGCCACAGAGUGGAGUUUUUUUAGAGGAGAAAAUCCAUGAUCUAAAGAACUUGCGUUUUUUGGAUAUGGCCUCAGGUGAGUGCGUGACUUGAUGAGCAUCCUAUACUAGCUGCAUUGUGUGGGAGUGACCAGAACUUUGUUCUGUCUUAAUCUGAUGAUCCUCAUGGAACCACUCUGCCUCCCUCAUUAUAAGGUUUCUCCUUGUUUUUGUAGUAGUUCCUGGCAGUUAUUUAUUCCAGUAUUUGGAAACAGAUAGGUUCUCGAAAGAUACCACUCAAGCCAAUCCAGCCACAUUUAGAGGGGUUCCAUGACUAUACCUGAGACUAUGGAUAUAAGACCAAACAGCUCUGUCCUGGGAUAGGGCCAUUAGCUGGAAACCCAGUCUGAUCUUUCCAUGAGUGUCAUGGAAGCCUUCCACUCCUCCCCUCUCCAAAUUUAUUUAUGCAUUCAGAAAAUACUUAUUAGAUUCCUUCUAUAUGCCUGACAUUGGCUCAGUCUCUAGAAAUAAACUGGACAAAAUUCCUGAAGUCCUUGUCCUUCUAGAUAUUAGAAUCCCAUGAGAAUAUUCUGGAACAUUGCCAAUGGUGGCAAAUGGAGACAAUCUCUGUCUAGAACAAAGAUGGCUGUUUAACAUGGGCUCCCCACACCCAGAUGGGUUAUAGUGGAUAAACUUUAAAUUAAAUUUAGAGAGUUGUUUUAAUAUAUUUCUUCUAAUAGGAUAACUAUGGAAUGGAUCUAAAAUAAAGAAUUUCAAAUUAGAGAAUUAAGCCCAAUGAAAACCAUGAAAGAGAUUAGGUACUGAGUUAAUUUUUAAUUUUCCAAACAUCAUUUCAGAAACAAUAGCUCCCUGGCAUUGAACUGGAAUCUUUGAAAACUUUGCCUCUCCUUGAAAUUCCUGAUAUGACCUCAUAUUAUGGCAUUGUUAAAUAAUCUUAACAUUUUUGGGUGUAACCGAUUUAACAAGUUGACACUUGAUGCCUUUUAUACAAUGUGUCCCUAAGAGGAGCAAGACAGAACAGGACUGGAGAUUACAGCAUGGUGAUGGGAUUUAGGUUCUCACAUUUAGUUUCCAGAACAAUUCUCAUGCUCUGAUUUGGUCUGCAAUGCCUACAAGUUACCGAAACAAGUGGCUUAAAAAUUUAUCAAAGAAGGUAUCUGUCAUUUAAUCAAAACAGUUGAGUGUGAAUAAUUUGAUUAAAGUCCUUUUUUUCUAAUCAUCAUUUGAAAAACAUGCAUUAAGGGCUUACUAUGUGGCAGGCAUUGUAGAUAAUAGAGGCUGCUACCCGCCGAAGAGUUUUGCUUCCAGCAGAGCAAAGAGACUGCUUCCAGCAGAUCAGAGUGAGGGUGAGAAGUUGCGCAAGGUCGAAAGCCAGCCAGGAAGAUGUGACAAGGAGCCACUGGGAUUGCUCUAGUUGGGUGGUCCCUCCACUAUGGUGGGGGCUGGCCUACUACAAUUAUUUAAAAGUUGGUGGUGAUACACGUGAUCCAAGCUACUUUGGAGGCUGGAGGAUUCCAAGUUCAAGGCCAGUCUCAGCAACUUAGCAGAGACCCUGUCCCCAAAUAAAAUAAAAUGAUAGAUAAAAUAAUAAACUGGUUGUAUUUGAUUGGUGUUCAAAGCAGCCUUUAGAAGAAGGUUGUACAGCAUAAAAGAUAAGUGGGUAGAUGCUCAGAAUUCUCUCUCUAACCAGCUUUGCAAUGAAUAACUAUAUGAUUUUGGCCCUUUAAGUCCUUGGUUUCAUCACUAAGUUUAUCCCUAAGACUUGAUGGAAAGUCUCCAAAUCCUUUGGGUUGUUCUAACAUUUACACUGAUUAUAUGACUUGCUUGUGUUUUCAGGUCUCAAGAAGACCAAUGCUUGGUGAGGUUGCCCAUAGAAAGCUAAAAUCAGUAUAGUAUCUCUCUUAUUAACACUUAAGGUUUAAUUGUGUUCUGAUUCCUAUGGCUCUUUUUCAUACAUUUUUCUUUUAAUCUUCACCAAAACCCUGAAGAGUUGGAGAAACUGAAGUUUAUAGAAUUCAAGUAACAUGCCCAGUUUCACAGAGGCAGUGAACACAGGGUCUAUUCAUCAGGCUCUUAGCAAGUGACAGUUACUUAUGAUUGGAUUAAAACAGUCCCAUUCAAAGAUGUUGAGCUAGUGACCUCUAAUUUCCUUCCAAACACCAACGUUCUACAUUUGUCUCAUCUUCAAAGACCAUCCUGAAGUUGUCAAAAAAGUGAGUGUAUUUGUAGGUUAUUUUGUCCCAACUAAAAAUAUGAAACUUCUUGAGCCUUGAUGAAGACAGGACAAUGUAACUAAAUAUAUGUAAAAUGACGCUUCAGCCACUUAGAAAUGAAGGUAGCCACGUUUCCUCAUUGCAAAAUGGAAGAGCCACUUUGGAAAAUGUUUUGGCAGUUUCAUAUGAACAUAUGCUUACAUAUUGAAUUCCUAGGUAUUUAUAUAUACAAGAGAAAUGCAAAUCUGUACACAAAACCCGAAUACAGAUGUUUACAGGUAUUUUCUUCAUAGUUGCCCCAAACUGGAAACCCCAAUGUCCUUCAGCUUGUGAGUAAACAAACUGGUGUAUCUGUACAAUGGAACACUAUUCAG
rnacentral:lncRNA from 1 species